UGCAAAUCUGAAGAAUAUUUAGCGAAGCUAAGGCUUGCAGCAUGCUGAGGAUUAAUGGAGAGAGCAUCCUGAAUAAUAUACUGCAGAGAAGCUAAGAUUUCCUGGUUAUUAUAUUCUUCCCUGUGGACCACUUUAAAGAUACUAGAAGGCAGACGCAGACAAGGACGGAGCAGCAAUACAAAGGCAACAUCAAGGCUACUCCAACCGUACCAGUCAUUCAGGCAAUGACUGGUUCCACUCUCAACAUGCUCUCUUUUCUUUUAUACUCAUGCAUACAUGCCUAUGUAUCUCUUUUUUGCACCAGUUGUGUAUAGCUAGUCUCACGGCUCUUUGUGUGAGACGCAUGUGUUUGAAUAUCAAUAAAAAUACUUCCUUUUUUAGAUGAGA